GUGCAGACUGUGCGGGCUCCCCGUGGCUCGCGGACCGCUUGUACUGCUGGAGAUGUGCGGAACACUCAAAUCCAAGUGAAAUUUAUCUUGCAGUUUCAUAAAUAAUAUAUUAAGGCAAUAAACUAAUUAAGAAAAUAACUUAGUCGUAAAUGAACUUUUAUAAAAUAAAUUAGAAUUCAUAAGUAUAGGUUUAGUUAAGGUUUAGGUUUAGGUUUAGGUUAAGGUUAAGGUUUAGGUUCAGGUUUCCGAUAAGGUUUAGGUUAAGGUUAUGGUUUAGGUUUAGGUUAUAGGUUAUAGCUAUAGGGAAUUAAGAAUAGGUUAAGGUUUUAGGUUUAUGAAAUCGAGUUCGGGUUCGGGUUUAGGUUUGGGUUUUCAAGUUUAGGUUUAGGUUUAGGUUAGGGAGUUGAGAUUAGGAUUUGGUGUAGGUUUAGGUUUAAGGAUUUGAGAAUAGGUUAAGGUUUAGGUUUAGGAAAUCAGGAUCAGGUUCGGGAUCAGGUUUAGGCUUGGGUUUUUAAGUUUAGGUUUAGGUUUAGGUUAGGGAGUUGAGAUUAGGGUUAGGUGUAGGUUUAGGUUUAGGG